rnacentral:tRNA from 1 species
AGUUAUUAUCCUGGGGAAGAUUUGUCUUGAAAAUAAAUUUUAAGUGUUCGAUUCUCUUAGUAGCUU